GUAGGUGGCAAGCGUUGUCCGGAAUUAUUGGGCGUAAAGCGCGCGCAGGCGGUUCUUUAAGUCUGAUGUGAAAGCCCACGGCUCAACCGUGGAGGGUCAUUGGAAACUGGAGAACUUGAGUACAGAAGAGGAAAGCGGAAUUCCACGUGUAGCGGUGAAAUGCGUAGAGAUGUGGAGGAACACCAGUGGCGAAGGCGGCUUUCUGGUCUGUAACUGACGCUGAGGCGCGAAAGCGUGGGGAGCAAACAGGAUUAGAUACCCUGGUAGUCCACGCCGUAAACGAUGAGUGCUAAGUAUUAGGGGGGUUUCCGCCCCCCUUAGUGCUGCAGCUAACGCAUUAAGCACUCCGCCUGGGAGUACGGCCGCAAGGCUG
rnacentral:rRNA from 1 species